UUGGCCUCAAUGAUUUUGUUUUGAAUUAUAUAUGUUCAUUAUUAUUAAUGUAGCUCUCUCAGAAAAAAUGAAGUGUUUGCUUUAAUAGGUUGUUUCCUACGUGUAGAAAACUGAAUAUUCCACAGCACCUAGGCCAGGGAUGUUCAACCUGCGGCUCUAAAGCCACAUGUGGCUCUCCGGCCCCUCCACUGUGACCAAGUAAGUUAUGUUUUAUUAUAAAGACAACAAGAAAGGGUUCUGUUUUAAUGAAAUAUCUGCAUUGACUAUUCACUGAAUGUACAAGGGUUUUAAAAGUGGUUUAAUGUUUCUUAGCUUCAAAUCUGUUUACUGUAAUUUUCAAGUUGGUUGCCCAUCUUUCCUAAUUUUCAAUUAUCAUGGAAAGGACUCAUGUAGCUGGCUUCAUUUUAACAAAUACUUUUUUCCGUUAUAAAGCUUUGAUGAUUCAUUUUCUUAUCAAAUCUAAAAAUUAACAUUUUUAUUUACAUUUCCAUAGCUUACACAAUACAACAACUCAUUUUCUAGAUAUUUAUAAGCUUUCUUUUUUAGGCUCUAGACAGGUUUUGUAGCAGCAGGGGAAAAGGGGCCCUUUGAACUGAAAAGGAUGCUGACCCCUGACUUAAGCCACCAGGUCAAGACACAACAAAUACAGAAAAAUUAUUGACAGAAAAAUGGAACGGUUACUUUCAAGGCUACGGGUGCAGGUGAAUGGAUGCUCCUGUCACUCCAUUUCCCAGGUCAUCAUAGCACUCCCACACACACGGAGCUCUACUGCAGUAUGCAGUGUAAUGGCCCAAACCAUCAGUGGUCAUCUUUCCGUGGAGAGCAAUUAAUGCCCUCAAAGUGAACGACUUUCCUUGGAGAACCAGGUUGGAGGGAAAUUCAUUCAGUGGAAAUUCUGUUUGGUUUGCAAGAGAUGGAUUGGAGAGUGGCCUGAGGCAGGUAGACUCAGGUAGGCCAAGUCCUGCUUCCACAGCAGUGCCAGGAUGAGCCAUACCAGACUCUCUGAGGACAGAGAUAGCAGGAGAAACAAAUGGCACUUCCCUUGUCAUCCCUUUGCUGAGGUAGCAGUGCUGUGAAGAGCAGUGUUUGGUAAAAUAAACACUUGAGAUGUUCCUCAUUGUCUUAGCAAUUACAGCGGAGAUAUUGCA